GGAAGUGUAGCUCAGUGGCACAGCACUUGCCUAGCAUGAAUGAGAGUCUGGGUUCCAAUCCCAGCACAGUCA
rnacentral:tRNA from 1 species